AGCUCAAAGCAUGCCUGUUUUUAAGGAAGUAAAGGUACAUCUGUUAGAAGAUGCAGGCAUAGAGAAGGAUGCUGUUACUCAGGAGACUAGAAUUUCACCCAGUGGAAUUGAUUCAGCUACAACCGUGGCUGCAGCAACUGCUGCUGCCAUUGCAACCGCAGCUCCAUUGAUAAAGGUGCAGAGUGAUUUGGAAGCAAAAGUCAAUUCUGUUACAGAAUUACUUAGUAAGUUACAGGAGACUGACAAACACCUACAACGUGUUACAGAGCAGCAAACAAGCAUUCAGAGGAAACAAGAGAAACUACAUUGUCAUGAUCACGAAAAGCAAAUGAAUGUGUUUAUGGAGCAGCACAUAAGGCAUCUUGAAAAAUUACAGCAACAACAAAUAGAUAUUCAGACUCAUUUUAUUAGUGCUGCACUCAAGACUAGUAGUUUUCAACCUGUUAGUAUGCCCUCCUCCAGAGCAGUGGAAGAGUAUUCUGUAAAACCAGAACACCCUAAUCUUGGUAGCUGUAAUCCAUCUUUAUAUAACACAUUUGCUUCCAAACAAGCACCUUUAAAAGAAGUUGAAGAUACGAGUUUUGAUAAACAGAAAUCUCCUUUGGAGACACCAGCACCUCGCAGAUUUGCUCCUGUACCUGUUUCAAGGGAUGAUGAACUAUCAAAGAGGGAAAAUCUUUUGGAAGAAAAAGAAAAUAUGGAAGUGUCGUGUCACAGAGGAAAUGUAAGACUAUUGGAACAAAUUUUGAAUAAUAAUGAUUCUUUGACAAGAAAAAGUGAAUCAUCAAACACCACCUCACUAACUAGGUCAAAAAUAGGAUGGACUCCUGAGAAAACAAACAGAUUUCCUUCCUGUGAAGAGCUAGAAACAACUAAAGUGACUAUGCGGAAGUCUGAUGAUGUUCUUCAUGACCUUGGCCAAAAGGAGCAGGAAACAAAUAGCAUGGUCCAGCCAAAAGAAUCUCUGAGUAUGUUGAAGCUUCCAGAUCUUCCACAGAAUUCUGUUAAGCUUCAAACAACCAAUACAACAAGAUCUGUAUUGAAAGAUGCUGAGAAGAUUUUGAGAGGAGUACAAAACAAUAAAAAACUACUUGAAGAAAACCUGGAAGCUAUUAUUCGUGCAAAAGAUGGAGCUGCCAUGUAUUCGCUUAUCAAUGCUUUAUCUACCAACAGAGAGAUGUCAGAGAAAAUUAGGAUCAGAAAGACAGUGGAUGAAUGGAUUAAAACUAUUUCUGCAGAAAUUCAGGAUGAACUGUCAAGAACAGAUUAUGAACAAAAAAGAUUUGAUCAGAAGAAUCAGAGAACCAAGAAAGGUCAGAAUAUGACUAAAGAUAUUAGAACCAACACACAAGAUAAAACUGUAAACAAAUCUGUAAUUCCAAGAAAACAUUCUCAAAAGCAAAUAGAAGAGCAUUUUAGAAAUCUACCUAUGAGGGGCAUGCCUGCUUCAAGUUUACAGAAAGAGAGAAAGGAGGGGCUUUUGAAAGCAACCCCAGUAAUACAAGAUGAAGAUUAUAUGUUACAAGUCUAUGGAAAGCCAGUUUAUCAGGGCCAUCGAAGCACUCUUAAAAAAGGACCAUAUCUCAGAUUUAAUUCUCCAUCUCCUAAGUCCAGACCACAGAGACCAAAAGUAAUAGAACGAGUUAAAGGCACUAAGGUAAAGUCAAUAAGAACACAGACUGACUUCUAUGCAACGAAACCUAUGAAGAUGGAUUCUAAAAUGAAACAUUCCAUUCCUGUGUUACCUCAUGGCGAUCAGCAGUAUUUGUUCAGCCCAAGUAGAGAAAUGCCUACAUUUUCAGGUACACUGGAAGGUCAUCUGAUUCCUAUGGCAAUUCUUUUAGGACAAACCCAAAGUAAUAGUGAUACCAUGCCACCUGCUGGAGUGAUUGUCAGCAAGCCACACCCUGUAACUGUGACUACUUCUAUUCCUCCAUCAUCUCGAAAAGUAGAAACUGGAGUAAAGAAACCUAACAUAGCCAUUGUAGAAAUGAAGUCAGAAAAAAAGGAUCCUCCUCAGCUUACUGUACAGGUAUUACCCAGUGUAGAUAUUGACAGCAUUUCAAAUGGUAGCGCUGAUGUCCUUUCACCUCUGUCUAGUCCCAAAGAAGCAUCUCUUCCUCCUGUGCAAACUUGGAUAAAGACUCCAGAAGUUAUGAAGGUAGAUGAAGAAGAGGUGAAGUUUCCAGGAACUAACUUUGAUGAAAUAAUCGAUGUCAUACAGGAAGAGGAAAAAUGUGAUGAAAUUCCAGACUCUGAACCAAUUCUGGAGUUUAACAGAAGUGUUAAAGCUGAUUCUACAAAAUAUAAUGGUCCUCCAUUUCCGCCAGUUGCUUCUACUUUUCAGCCCACUGCCGAUAUUCUGGAUAAAGUAAUUGAGAGAAAAGAAACACUGGAAAAUAGCUUAAUUCAAUGGGUAGAGCAAGAAAUAAUGUCAAGAAUUAUCUCUGGGCUCUUUCCAAUCCAGCAACAGAUUGCACCUAAUAUCAGUGUUUCAGUCAGUGAGACAAGUGAACCACUGACUUCUGACAUUGUGGAAGGAACAAGCAGUGGCGCCCUCCAGCUUUUUGUUGAUGCUGGUGUUCCUGUGAACUCAGACGUGAUUAACCGUUUUGUGAAUGAAGCUCUUGCUGAGACCAUUGCUGUCAUGCUGGGUGACAGAGAAGCAAAGAAGCAAGGUCCUGUUGCUACAGGUGUUUCUGGGGAUGCUUCAACAAAUGAAACAUAUUUGCCGGCAAGAGUGUGCACCCCACUGGCUACCCCACAGCCUACGCCUCCUCGCUCACCUUCACCUACUAAGGAGUGUGUUUUGGUAAAGACUCCAGAUUCUUCUCCCUGUGAUUCGGAUCAUGAUAUGGCUUUUCCUGUGAAAGAAAUAUGUGCUGAAAAAGGAGAUGAUAUGCCUGCCAUCAUGCUUGUUAAUACUCCAACAGUUACCCCUACUACUACACCUCCUCCAGCGGCGGCAGUUUUUACCCCAACUUUGUCAGAUAUUUCCAUUGAUAAAUUGAAGGUAUCAAGCCCAGAGCUUCCCAAACCAUGGGGUGAUGGAGACCUGCCACUGGAAGAAGAGAACCCUAACUCACCUCAAGAAGAACUUCAUCCAAGAGCUAUUGUAAUGUCUGUGGCUAAGGAUGAAGAACCAGAGAGUAUGGAUUUCCCUGCUCAGCCUCCACCUCCAGAGCCAGUUCCCUUUAUGCCAUUUCCUGCCGGCACCAAGGCGCCUUCCCCCUCACAGAUGCCAGGUUCUGAUUCAUCAACACUGGAGAGCACACUGAGUGUUACUGUCACUGAAACUGAAACUUUAGAUAAACCCAUCUCUGAAGGAGAGAUUUUAUUUAGCUGUGGUCAAAAAUUGGCCCCCAAGAUUUUAGAAGAUGUAGGACUGUACCUGACAAACCUUAAUGAUAGCUUAUCCAGCACUCUGCAUGAUGCCGUUGAAAUGGAGGAUGAUCCUCCUAGUGAAGGGCAAGUGAUUAGGAUGUCCCAUAAAAAAUUUCAUGCAGAUGCAAUUCUUUCUUUUGCUAAACAAAACCAGGAGUCUACAGUUUCCCAGCAAGCAGUCUAUCAUUCAGAGGACUUGGAAAACAGUGUGGGUGAACUUAGUGAAGGACAAAGACCCCAGCUAACAGCGGCAGCAGAGAACAUCUUAAUGGGACAUUCUCUCUAUAUGCAGCCAUCUGUCACUAAUGCACAGUCUUUGGAUCAACAAUGUGAUCCUAAACCAUUAUCUCGGCAAUUUGACACAGUUUCAGGUAGUAUUUAUGAAGAUUCAUGUGCUAGUCAUGGUCCAAUGAGUUUGGGAGAAUUGGAGUUGGAGCCAAAUUGUAACCUGGUUCUUCCCUCAACACUUCUGACAGCACAAGAAAAUGAUGUUAAUUUACCAGUAGCCGCUGAAGAUUUUCCGCAGUACCAACAAAAGCAAAAUCAGGAUGUUAAGCAAGUUGAACACAAACCAUCACAAAGUUACCUACAUGUUAGAGAUAAAUCUGAUAUUGCACCUUCACAGCAACAAGUUUUGAUCAGCAGGAUAAAGAACUGUAAGAACCGACAAACUUGAGAAGCAGUUUUCAAGCUGUGUUGACCUAGUUGUAGGCCAUGUUUGCUGUUUUAAUCAUCAACUGCAGAGCACAAUACUCACCCUUCCAGUAAACCCCGUAAAUCAACGAGUGAGAAUUAUGAAGCCACUACUUGUUAUAAGAAUAAAAGUGGUCAACUCUGAUAUUGU
rnacentral:sRNA from 1 species